rnacentral:tRNA from 1 species
AAGAUUAAAAUAAUUAGACUUCUAAUCUAAAAAUAAUGAUUUAUUUCAUUUAAUCUUU